AUUGAACGCUGGCGGCAUGCCUUACACAUGCAAGUCGAACGGUAACAGGUCUUCGGAUGCUGACGAGUGGCGAACGGGUGAGUAAUACAUCGGAACGUGCCCGAUCGUGGGGGAUAACGAGGCGAAAGCUUUGCUAAUACCGCAUACGAUCUACGGAUGAAAGCGGGGGAUCUUCGGACCUCGCGCGGACGGAGCGGCCGAUGGCAGAUUAGGUAGUUGGUGGGAUAAAAGCUUACCAAGCCGACGAUCUGUAGCUGGUCUGAGAGGAUGAUCAGCCACACUGGGACUGAGACACGGCCCAGACUCCUACGGGAGGCAGCAGUGGGGAAUUUUGGACAAUGGGCGAAAGCCUGAUCCAGCCAUGCCGCGUGCAGGAUGAAGGCCUUGGGGUUGUAAACUGCUUUUGUACGGAACGAAAAGCCUCUUUCUAAUAAAGAGGGGUCAUGACGGUACCGGAAGAAUAAGCACCGGCUAACUACGUG
rnacentral:rRNA from 1 species